ACAAAAUGAACGGCGUCACCAGGCGCGAUUGGAUCUGAGGUCUCGUCCAAGGUUCCCCCUCACAGCGUCAUGAUGGCAUCAACAAAGUGGAGCACACCACCGACGGCAGGAAUGUCAAGCGAAGUCCCUGCCUCUGGUAGGAAGCGCGGGCUCGUAGGCAUCACGUUGGGGUUGAUCGCCUAAUGGGUGACAGAGGUGGAGGCAUUGCGACCACCUUCAUCAUCAAGCCGCAUCCCUGACCCUCCAUAGCUUGCACGUGACAAGAAGGUUCUUUUUUACUACGGCUAGAUUGAUAAUCCGUACUCCACAUAUCCUGCUUCGUGUUCUGUUGGUGCCUGAUGCCCACAGCUAUGGCAUGGAUAAUUAUGGAACCCAGGGGGUACAUUGCCUUGAGGGAACUCAGCAAAAAGAACUCUGAUAACCGUAAGAAACAGAAGACAAAGAACAUAAUUGGAUGAGAAGAGAAACUUGGAAACAAGAGAAGAGCCAGAUUGUAUUGCUCUUUGCGAACUCACCCACACGAAGAAUGAAACAUGGUUUAACAACUUGAGGAGAUGUUAAAAUAUCGUGCUGAAAAGGAAACAUUGUUGGAGGAGGAGCGAAGAUCAAGACAAGAAUUUGAAAAGGCCAUGAUGGCAAAGUUUACUAAAUUGAGCCAACAGAUGGGAACCCAACAGAUACCUAAGAAGAAGACUGACAAACAAAAUAGUAAUCCAAAACUGUAAAAUACUCUUUUACAGAGCUCUAGUCCUUAUAGGACUCUAGGUGGAAGCCCAAGUGUUAUUUCUUCAAAUGAGCUCAUACAAGCUGCAACAAUGAAUUCUUAAAAGUUUAAAGCAAUGGUAAGUCACAACCUUGCUUUCUCUUCAUGUUCACCUUGAUUUGACACAUCAAUGGCGUCAGGUUGGGCACAUAUCUACUUUUUUUUUUUGAGAUGGAAUACAUAUUCCAUUAAAUAUCAUGCGCCACUUUAUUACAAACCAAUAGGACAGUGUGACUAGGAAAUAGAACUGAAGUAGAUAAUAUAGGAAGUUCAAAACAAAAGUAGAUAAUAUAGGCUUCCAAGCUGAUGUUGCAUGUACUGCCUCUAGUCUGUACGCACACAUAAAUCUCAAUAUGUUUGGAAGUCAUUACCUUAGUUUUGAUGAUUUGUGACUCUGAUUAGAAUCGUUGAUCGCUUUAGAUUUCCCUUCUAUUCAUAUCAGAACAGUUGAUUAGAAUUGAAAACGACAAUGUUGGCUUCAUGUUUGUCUUCUACUUGCUCUGUGUGUGGGAUUUAUGUAUAGGAAGAAGUUGAAACAAAACACAAAAAACCCUUAUUUCUAACUUCUUUGCUGCCCCGUAUUAUUUUGUUAUACCGUGGCUUGCUUGUGCAUUCAUUCAUCAUUUUAGGUCAUGCAAUGUUCAUACUUUCGAGGGGAUCCAUUCCCACAUGAUAGUGUUCGUGAUAGGCACAACUUCAGACUACCCCCAGGUGAGCACUUACGACCAUUUUUUCCGAAAAGGCAAAAACCAAUUGGGACGCUUCAUAUCAUUGGAGUGCUAACCAAGCAAUAUACUACCCAUGCUUGAACCACAUCAUUUUAAUUUAUUUUAAGCUUCUACGAUGCGAACUACAAUUAGUUAGAGAAACAAUGUAAAUAUCAGUGAAUUGUUGUCACUUGUCAAAACUAAUUGUUUUUUGAUUUCUUAAUUACAGGAUCCAAACAACUAGCUGGACUGGACACGAGAUGACGGACAGUUUAGUCUUGCCACUAUAUUAGGAUGGCCAAAUUAUAUUGGAGUUUCAUUUGAUGGAUAUUUGCUACGAUAAUUACGAUUUUUAUGAAUAAAUAAAUAAAUAAGACGGUUGCAAUAUGUUAUUACCAAAAAUAAAUAGUGUUGCGUCAAAAUUUAGUCGCCAGACCUACAUGUUUUGUUGAGCUAGGAUGUUGUGAUAGAGCAUUUUAUACUGUCGCAAUAACUUGUCCUACAAUUUUUCUGCACAUUGUAUUAAUUGU